AAUAAAAACCUAUCGACCUGCCGAUGAACCUUUUGAUUAUUCAUGUUAUGUAUUAGUUCGUGCCAAUAACAGCGAUCCAAUUUUUAUUGGGUGUUAUUUGAAAGACGUAGGAUCUAAAGCAGAUACAUACAACAGUUAUUAUGAUGCACGCAAUAAAGGGAUCAUUGCAAUGUACGAUUAUUUGAACAGAAACAUGUAAUAUCACGAACAAAUAUUGGAAAUGAACACUAUCAAGCUUUUGUACUGUCUUACACAAUGAUUGUUCCUAACAUAUUUAAUCAAUAAUUUCCAUGCUGAAAUAUAUUUUUAUAAAUAAAACUCUUUUAAAACUAUUCAGAAGUGCGUACAUAAAAUUGAAGAGAUAAAAAAUAAAGAUUUCGACAAUUUGA